ACCAACCAAAAGAGAGAGAAAGAGAGAGAAAGAGAAUAAAAGACUUGGACUUCUUUACGACCGGAAGCUGCCAAAAGUCCGAUUUCCAUUGGGCCAAUAUGCGUGAAUUGAGGAAUUCGGAGAACUUUUCCUUUCUUCAAAUCGUAACCGAUUUUUCCACUAGCUUUGUAUCCUUCACUGGUACAACCGCUGUUGCUCCUGCAGUCGGACAGAAAUAGCAGUUAAUUUUAUAUUAUAAAUAAAUCAUUAUAUAUA
rnacentral:lncRNA from 1 species